AUACGUAGGGGGCGAGCGUUGUCCGGAAUGAUUGGGCGUAAAGGGCGCGUAGGCGGCCCGGUAAGUCUGGAGUGAAAGUCCUGUUUUUAAGAUGGGAAUUGCUUUGGAUACUGUCGGGCUUGAGUGCAGGAGAGGUAAGUGGAAUUCCCAGUGUAGCGGUGACAUGCGUAGAGAUUGGGAGGAACACCAGUGGCGAAGGCGACUUACUGGACUGUAACUGACGCUGAGGCGCGAAAGUGUGGGGAGCAAACAGGAUUAGAUACCCUGGUAGUCCACACUGUAAACGAUGAAUGCUAGGUGUAGGGGGUAUCGACCCCUUCUGUGCCGCAGUCAACACAAUAAGCAUUCCGCCUGGGGAGUACGGCCGCAAGGUUGAAACUCAAAUGAAUUGACGGG
rnacentral:rRNA from 1 species